AUACGUAGGGUGCAAGCGUUAAUCGGAAUUACUGGGCGUAAAGCGUGCGCAGGCGGUUUUGUAAGACAGAGGUGAAAUCCCCGGGCUCAAACUGGGAACUGCCUUUGUGACUGCAAGGCUAGAGUACGGCAGAGGGGGAUGGAAUUCCGCGUGUAGCAGUGAAAUGCGUAGAUAUGCGGAGGAACACCGAUGGCGAAGGCGAUCCACAGGGCCUGUACUGACGCUCAUGCACGAAAGCGUGGGGAGCAAACAGGAUUAGAUACCCUGGUAGUCCACGCCCUAAACGAUGUCAACUGGUUGUUGGGUCUUCAUUGACUCAGUAACGAAGCUAACGCGUGAAGUUGACCGCCUGGGGAGUACGGCCGCAAGGUUGAAACUCAAAUGAAUUGACGGGG
rnacentral:rRNA from 1 species